GGACGAACGCUGGCGGCGUGCUUAACACAUGCAAGUCGAACGAUGAAGCUGGAGCUUGCUCCAGUGGAUUAGUGGCGAACGGGUGAGUAACACGUGAGCAAUCUGCCCUUGACUCUGGGAUAACUGCGGGAAACUGUAGCUAAUACCGGAUACGACACCUUGGGGCAUCCCGAGGUGUGGAAAGAAUUUCGGUCAAGGAUGGACUCGCGGCCUAUCAGCUAGUUGGUGAGGUAACGGCUCACCAAGGCGACGACGGGUAGCCGGCCUGAGAGGGUGACCGGCCACACUGGGACUGAGACACGGCCCAGACUCCUACGGGAGGCAGCAGUGGGGAAUAUUGCACAAUGGGCGCAAGCCUGAUGCAGCAACGCCGCGUGAGGGAUGACGGCCUUCGGGUUGUAAACCUCCUUUAGUAGGGAAGAAGCGAAAGUGACGGUACCUGCAGAAAAAGCACCGGCUAACUACGUG
rnacentral:rRNA from 1 species